CAUUAAGAAGCUAAGUGAGCAUUAACCUUUUAAGUUAAAGACUGGGAAUUUUACCUCCCCUUAAUGA
rnacentral:tRNA from 1 species